UCUGUCUUAUUGCAUCUCCUCUUUCUUUUUGUCCUCAGCCCUCACUAUCCAUCCAACAUGUUCACACAUACAUGCAUGCAUACACAAAAACACUUAUACAUAUUUGUAAAUUACUAUGUGAAAACUUCGAUUUCAUGCGCGAACACUCGUAAUAAAACGUUCGAAAUAGAUUUUUUAGACAUAUAUGUGCCAGUCUCCGGAUCAAUACCAG